rnacentral:lncRNA from 1 species
UCUUUUUGGCCCCCUGCUAAGGAAACUUUUCAUGUUCAUUUUACAAGAGCAGCGUAACAUUGCUCCAACAAAACUGUGAUUAGAGGAAAACAAACAUGGAAUUCCGGCUUUGUCCAUCCCAGCUUAAAAGUAAAUGUGUCUCUCCCAUCCAUGAUGGCGAUGCAUUUUCACUUGCUGUCCCAUGUUUUCUGAUCCCUUUUCCACCCUGCUCACAACCGUAACAGCCGGUUGUUAUGGAUCUUCCGAUCAUUUGCCUGCACAAACUAUACAAUAUAAAAGAAAACGGUGAAAAUAUCAAAGCGUCGAUACCAUAUAUAGCGGCUCCCCCUUUUUGGAGGGGGAUCGUGUGCAAGAAUGAAAGCCUCCCUUCCCCCCCCUCCUUUUUAGAGGACAAAGAUGGAAGGUCUUGAAGCAGGGAAGCGAGGCUUGAGAAUAAUGUCUGCUGGCUUCCUCCUCGUCUUGAUCCUGCUUGAAAUAUCGCCUGAUAUUUAUAAUUUAUCUUCUAAAACCUUGUUGGGUUUGUGGGCGGGUCAGUUGCGAGGCCCACCUUGUAGGGCUUUUUUCUUUUCAGCUGUCCUGGGCCC